GGGGAACCAGGAAUUUUACUUUGAAAAAAUUAGAGUGUUCAAAGCAGGCUUAUGCCGUUGAAUAUAUUAGCAUGGAAUAAUAAGAUAGGACCUCGGUUCUAUUUUGUUGGUUUCUAGAGCUGAGGUAAUGAUUAAUAGGGAUAGUUGGGGGCAUUCGUAUUUAACUGUCAGAGGUGAAAUUCUUGGA
rnacentral:rRNA from 1 species